CACGAACCACAAUCUAAAACCUCGACGGACAAUGACGAAGUCAAACCGACCUCGGAUUAAACUGAUUACAGAACUGAGAACAGUGAAUUAAUCUUUCAUGAUUGUUGACUCAACAGAAGCUAGAGCAAAACAGAGACCCUUUCAAGAACUUGGCUCGAAAAGUGAAACAAUCUUUGCUCUGUCAUUGCUUUUCUCCUAUAUUGUUUUUCUGACUCCUAAUUGCUAAUAAAACUUGACUGAAUCUGAAUAAAAGAUUUCAAAAAAAUAGCUUGGAACAGAGCAUCAAACCAUGACCUUAAAAUUUGUACCGCAUCGUAUUUCUAGUUUCAUGCUUUCUUUAUGAUGAAGAAUGUGUGUCGAUCAAAACGAUAAGAAAUACAAAGUUUAGCUAUGCUGCAAUUUUUUCUCUCGUUCUCUCACUGCCUAGCUCAGGCGUUUGCUAUCUCGAACCCUUUCAAUCUAAAGCUCCCUCUUUUGUUUUCUCCCUCCCUCUAUCUAUGUGUGUAUGCAGCUGUAUGAGACUUUGGUUCUGCGUCAAGAAGAAAGAAGCAUCGUUGUUCUUCUUCUACUAUUUUUGUUAGUUCUUUAGGGAUUUUUAGGUUAGCUCCCCAUUGCAAAAGAAGAACGAGGGGUCUAUUCUUAGGAAAAAGGGUGUUCUGGAGUGUGGAGAUGGAGGGGUCUUUUGGAGUUGUUUCGCAACUAUUGUGUUGUUUGUUGAAGACGAUGAAUGACGGGGGUGGAGAGGUUCGAUUUUUGGGAGUUGCGGCUGAAGGGUUGUUUUUACGGAGAGAUUUGGUCUUGGAGUUAUAAGGUUCAGCUG
rnacentral:lncRNA from 1 species